ACCACACCAAAACUGUAAACAUCACUUUGGGAAGUGUAAAUCCCUGACUCAAAUUCUGGAGCACCGUAACCAUAUGUCGUGAGAAGUUGUCCCGACAACUGGCUCACAGCACCAGAUGAUAUUAGCGAAGCCAAACCACAAUCUGAAACAUGUACAGCCAACUCCUCAUCAAGCAGAAGAUUAGCAGACUUGAAGUUUCUAUGAAUAAUAGGUGGCUCGCAGACUUCAUGGAGAUACUCUAAUGCUCUUGCAGCUCCAAGAGCCAUCCUCAUGCGAGUAUUCCAUGAAAGUUGUCUCUUGAAUUCAUCGUCGCAAUGCAGUGCAUCUUGUAGUGUCCCGUUACAGCAAUACUCAUAGACCAGAAGCCUUUGACCAUGCUCUGCACAAUAGCCCAUCAGCUCAACAACAUUAGCAUGACGAAUUCUGUCAAUAUUGUUUACUAAGUCAAGAAACUCAUCAUCCGUUUGUUGAUCGCAAACUCUUUUGUCCAGCUUUUUGACAGCAAGCAACUUUCCAUUAGGAAGCUCCACCCUGUACACACUACCCAGCAUUCCUGAUCCCAACAGAUUAUCUUGAGAGAAGCUAUUAGUGUAUUGCUGAAGUGAUGCAAUUGUGUAAGAUUUUACAGAAGUUAGUGGAAGUGGCCUGGUUGGAAGCCUCGUUGCUGUAUCUUUAGCAGGCGCAAUCGGCUCGACAAUAACUCUCUCUUGUGGAAGAGUCGGCGGAGGAGGAGGAGGAGG
rnacentral:misc_RNA from 1 species